CUACGAAGGGGGCUAGCGUUGUUCGGAAUCACUGGGCGUAAAGCGCGCGUAGGUGGAUCAAUUAGUUGAGGGUGAAAUCCCGGGGCUCAACCUCGGAACUGCCUUCAAUACUGUUGAUCUUGAGACCGAGAGAGGUGAGUGGAAUUCCUAGUGUAGAGGUGAAAUUCGUAGAUAUUAGGAAGAACACCAGUGGCGAAGGCGGCUCACUGGCUCGGUACCGACGCUGAGGUGCGAAAGCGUGGGGAGCAAACAGGAUUAGAUACCCCAGUAGUCC
rnacentral:rRNA from 1 species